AACGAACGCUGGCGGCAUGCCUAACACAUGCAAGUCGAACGAUGCUUUCGGGCAUAGUGGCGCACGGGUGCGUAACGCGUGGGAAUCUGCCCUUGGGUUCGGAAUAACAGUGAGAAAUUGCUGCUAAUACCGGAUGAUGUCUUCGGACCAAAGAUUUAUCGCCCAGGGAUGAGCCCGCGUAGGAUUAGCUAGUUGGUGGGGUAAUGGCCUACCAAGGCGACGAUCCUUAGCUGGUCUGAGAGGAUGAUCAGCCACACUGGGACUGAGACACGGCCCAGACGCCGCGGCGGGGCAGAAGUGUGGCAUAUCGAACAUGGCCACCAACCCUCACCGAGACACGCCGCGUGAGGGAUGAAGGCAUGAGGUUUGUAAAUCUCUUUUACCAGGGAUAAUAAAGACAGACCGGGGAGAAUAACCCCCCGCCACCUCCGUGCCAGCCCCCGCAGAACAUCGAGCGCACCCGCCCAA
rnacentral:rRNA from 1 species